CCUGUUCUGCAAUCAGAAUUUCUGGAACUAUCUUUGACACUUUCUGACAUUCAGGAUACCCUGUCCAUAUAUAGCAUUGAUUUUUGAGUUGUUACAAUUGUUAUAUAUUCUUGGUUAAAUUCAUACAGUGUAAUAUGCCUUAUGUGUUCUUCAAUCAUUCCCAUUUCCUAUGCAUUUUAAAGGCACAAGAAUGCACAUGCAAUUAUUGUUCUCUGUCUCGUGACAUGAAGAGCAUGUUGUGCAAUAAGUCUUAUCAUGUCCUUCGUUUACUUCAUUAUCUGAUUGCCUUGCCAGAGGGAGUAAGACAUUUCUCCCUCAUUUCAUUUUCUGUAAGACAUGCAAAAAUGACAUCACUUAUGGGAUGAUAUAGAAGUCAUAUUGAAAUUUUCUCAAAAAUAAAACACAUGUAUCCAGAUUUCAGAGAUGUUAAAAUGUGAAAAAACAUCUUAUAAUUGAUGUCAAAAGAACUCUUUUUCAUUAUCUAAUUUGAAAUACAUCGAUGUGUAAUCAUCUGAAAUAACUGGAUUUUGCCAAAGAAAAAUAACCGCAUCUAAAUUUUCACAAAUAUCCUGUUUCGGUAAUACUGUACUUGGC
rnacentral:lncRNA from 1 species